rnacentral:misc_RNA from 1 species
GUACUCUCACACUCCUCUGAUCCUUUUGGAUUCGGGGAGCGGUGGACUUGGGUGUUUGCUGCUUUCCUUGUGGCUCACCUCAAAUGCGUCAGUGCACCUCUUGGUUGGACAUAGUACGGCGUGAUAAGUGUCUUCGCCGGCACCUCGGAAGAGGGUGGCCGAUCGAGAGCUCUGUGCUUUCAAACCGUCUUCGGACACUUUCUGACA